CCUCCCCCGCGCGCGGCUCGGGGCGCGGGGAUGCGGGCCGGGAGGCGGGCGGGGCGGGGCGGGGCCCUGGCCGCCCCAGCCGCGCCCGGGGCGGUGCCCGGUGCCCGCGCCUUGUUUACGGGCGCUGCGGCCCCUCUCCUGGCGGGCACCGAGCCUUUCCGGGCGGAGGCGGAGGCCGUGGGCUCUUUCCGGGGCGUCAUCGGCGCCAUCCACCCGUCAGGUCCCGGGAAGUCAGGAGAGCACACACUGGCAUGUAUGACAUCUUGGAUUUGAUCCCCAGCACUGCCAAAAAUACAAUAAAACAACACAUAGAGGCUGUGUAGCACUGAUACUGUCCAUACUGUCUCAAUUGGAACUGAGCUGAGGCGCUUCAGCCCCCGUGGGGCAGUAUCCGUUCAUCUGUCCGAGGGCUCCACAUGUCUGUCCAGUGUUCUAAAGAGCAGUUAUCCAUCCAGAUAAGUAUUGCCCUUUGUGCCUUGUUUUGACGCGUAAAAUGAAAUGUCACUAACUAAAGUCCCGUAAGGAAACACGGGUUAGUGAGGUUCGCUAGGAAGUAAACAAAGCAACAACUUGUGAAACGUAAGCAGAUGCCUCUCACUGCUGUUUCCCGCCCUGCCGCCUCUGCUGAGUGCAGAUUUCAGUUCAGAUAAACACGUUCUAAGAACUGGGGCUGAGGUAAACACCAGCCUUCUUGCUAGUGCUCGCGAGCUCUUUAUUAAAGCUUUCCAUACCAGCCUAGCAUCUUCCUGUUGAAAGAGAAAAAAUAAGAAUCACAUAGUAAAAAUACCUUAAAAUUAUAUUUUACACUGUAAGAACCCCUUUAAGAUAGUAAAAAUAAACAUUAAAAAGCCAUACCCACUGCUAUUAAAAAUGAAAAUAGAAAAUGAGCUAUAUUGAUGUUCUGUUGCUGGAUAUUUUUCUGUUUUUGAGUAAAGGUGUGCCUAAUUUUAAAACUCCUCCCACUAAAACUACAAUACAGUUUCAAACCUCACAAUGUAAAUGUCAGAGAAAAUUAAACCACAGAUCAGCAUCUAUAUCUUUCUCAGUGCAAAAUAUAAAACCCAGCACACAUUACUAAACAUGUGUUCAGGAUUUAUUAAGCCUCAUAUUUUAGGAAUUAUCCAAAAUGUCAGUCUUUCCCAUUAGCUUUCUAUCUAAAUAGGGCACCAUUAAAUAUCCUUGCAUGUUUGACCUCUUUCACGUUUACCUUCGGUUACAGCAUUUUACACAUAAUUUGAAAACAAAACCUUGUAGUACGUAUUAUAACCAUCAUCUGGCGUUUUUCUGGGCUGUCUUACUGCCUAAUUUCAAUUCUCUGUGUUGCUGUGUACAAGCCCAUUUCCUAGUGGCACAUGGUCCAGAGAGUCCUGCUCAUCUUUGAACCCAGGAAGUUCCGCCAAGUCUCAAAUAUUACAUCAGAUUGCAGAUUCGGGAAGAUUCCAGGAAAAGGUGAUAUGAAGACAUCAUAGAAAACAAGCAUUGAGCUCUGUCUUCAUACUGGAGACUACUGUUUUUCAAUGACAUUUACAUUUACACUUAGAAGAAAGAAAAGGGGUCAGGCCAAGUAAGGUAAACUAAGACAACUUUUAAAACGUGUCUGGUUGUGAACGUCAUUAUUUCUGUGGAUUGAUGUUAAACGUUAACCUUGAAACUGAAGGCGGUGAGCCCAAGCAUUUCCAGUCUUCAGCUCAACUCAGGCAGUGAUGCCCCUUGCCUGCGAUCCCUGAAGCACCACCUCCUUAGAGUCACAGCUCUGUCUAUUGAGAGCCUUGCAUCCCAGCCAUUCACUUCCAAAUGUUUCUUGAAUAUAAUUGAAGGAUCUGCUAAGUUGAUAAACAAAGUUUGCUCCUCCUUCCUUUGUAAAUGGUGUUUGCAAUCUCUAGUGCUGUCCUGGGAGGAGAAAACCCUUUCUGAUGUACCCAGGUUUGCUAGCUAGGUCUGCCUUCUGAGUCACAUGACCCAGUGACAAGUCCGCAUAGACCCAGUGGCUGCUUAAUUCUGUCUGUUCAUCAGCAAGCUUCGAUCAUGAGCCCUGACCAGGAACUGGCUUAGUCUUGUGAACAGAGGUCCACAUGAGCUUCUGGGGGGCAGCAUCCACCCCAGUCUCUCUGUCUCCUUCUUCUCUUGUGGGUGAGCCAGUGUGCUCAGGCCAGGACUCCCACAAUCAGUCCAUUUCUAGGAUUGUGCUUACAGCAAACCACACUGUAAGGAUGAGGUCUUUCAUGAAAGAGAAAGAGUAGAGUCCCCAAGCUCAGUGUGCAGCUACCCUGCAGGUGGGGAGCCCAGCAGCCUCUGCAUGUCACCUGUGUUGAGGAGCCCAUGGCAGGUGGUGCUGCCUCUGCCCACGUUUGUGAACAAAGAGGCCAGCUCCAGGUACCACUAACAGGCUGGCUGAUCUAUUUGCUUGUAAGAAAAAUGAGAUGAAAUCCCAGACCCCAGCAAUGCCCUUAGGAAGCACAGGGUCCACUGGGAGGUAGAGAACUAUUUGUACAUAGCCAAAUCGAGAGGCCAGCUCUAAGUAUGGAAAGAAACCCAAUCACACAGGGCAGUGUGGUGUGUAGUAAAUCGGUGUUUCGUUGUGCGGAGGGCCAGGACACAAUGUGGGCUGGCAUCACGGAAAACAGAGGCAGGCACAUUAAAGCUUUACCUGUGUCUUGCACUACACUGCUUGGUGAACCAAAGAAUUAAAUAUUAAAACUUUAAACCAUAACAUUUAGGGGGAAAAAGAAAGAGAUAUUGAUGAAUUUGACUUUCUCAAACAGAAUUCACAAGCGGAAAGCAGUAAAAUCAAAAGUAAAGUAUAAGGGAGUGAUUAAAAGAUAUGGAGAGUGUUUAAAUUGUUUUUUAAAGUGUACUACAGUAAAGACACAUUGCCAAGAACAAUUGGAUGACUGUAAAGUGAGGUGGGUAUUUUUUUGUGUGUGUACUGGGUAUUAAACGCAGGACCUUGUGCUUGUGAGUCAGGCGCAGUGCCACUGAGCUACAUCCCCGGCCCAAGGCAGGUAUUUUGAGGGGAAUGAAUGACAAUGUGUCUUUUACUGUAAUACAUUUUUUAAAAAUUUAAAGUCACCAUGUAUUUUUAAUCACACCUCAGAUAAACUGCAAAGGACAAAGAAAUGGCAAGCAUAUCAUGGAUGAAGUACUACUUAGGUGUUUAUGUAGUAUCCUAAGGGCUCCUAUAAGAUAAUGAAGAGACCAAAAACACAUAACCAAAGAUGGAUGAUCUGAAUACAUAAUUCCCUACAAUGAAAAUAAAUGCAAAAACAAAAGCCUUAACCGUAGGAAAACUUGCUUGCCAUUUCCUGUCAUAAAAUAAAUGCACAUCAGAGCCACAGUGUGGCACAGUAUUCACCUAGCAGACGGGCUGAAACUGACCUCAGGACCCGGGAAGGGCCAAGCGAGGGACUGCAUCUGACCCGGACGGAUGCUCAGGGCCUGGACCCCGGAUGGAACAUCUUAGGGGUGACUUGUGCCCCCGUGACAGGGCGCUGGAAUAUGAGGUGCACAUGGGUUCCCGCCAGUCUCCUCAGAAGAGCAAAGUUUUCGAUUCACACUACCAGAGGUGCGUUCUUAAAGAACCAGGCAUGGAGUGGAUGCCUGGUGCACUCCGUUAUUCUGUGUGUCUGUGUUUUGGCUUCAUUGUUUUGUGUUGUGAUUGAAAAGCCCACAUAAACGGCUUGACGGAAGCCCUUGAGACCUGCUCCCUGGAUGUUCCCAGAGGUCAUGAGGGGUCGGCUCCUCGAACUCUACCCUCUUUCAUGUCCGCGGAGCACAGGAAGGGGUCUCUGGGGCCUCACUAUGCCAGGAGGGAAGGGCUGGUGUCCUAGGGGGAGCAAGGCCCCUUCAGCAGCAGCAGCGAUUCCUGCUGUGUUCUGUGAAGUGCCACCGACAGGUGAGCACUCAAUAAGCAUUUCUAGAUUUAGUUCCAGAGAGGCAUUGAUUUACUUUUUAACCAUUGCUGAAGGGGAGAGAUGAGGAAAGCCAAUCAAAAAAGCUAACACCCCCAGCCCCAGCCAUAAUGGGGACCAAACCUAGGGGCCCUGUACCACUGAGCCAUGUCCCCAGUUAUUAUUACUAUUAUUACUACUACUAUUAUUAUUAUUUUGAGACAGAGUCUCACUAAGUGCCCCCGGCUGGCCUUGAAGUUGGGAUCCUCCUGCUUCAGCCUCCCAUAUAGCUAGAAUUACAGGUAUGCACUGCCACCUCCAGUGAACUGAAGGGUUUGUUUGUUUGCUUGUUUGUUUGUUUUUGAGAUAGGGUCUUCUAUGUAGUUCAGGCUGACCUUGAACUCACUAUGUAGCCCAGGCUGGCUCAAACCUGAACUUGCAGCAAUCCUCCUGCCUCAGUCUCCUGAGUGCUGAGAUUACAGGCGUGCGCCACCAAGGCCAACUGUGAACUGGAGGCUUUUAGAAGAGGGGGGAAAUGUAGUUUUUCAGGGAAGACGAUUAAACUACAGAAUUCUGGUCUAUUUUUAAUGUGCCAUUACAGUAAUGUAGAAUUGGCAUCUUCUAACACCGACUUUUCCAGUGCUGUAAAAACAAAGAGUAUAAACGUGGGAGCCCGAGGGAAAUCUGCACGUGUGAGGUUCAUCGCAGCAGGAGUCAUUGGGAUUCCAGCCGUUCUCCGUCACUCAAGUACAGCAGACCUGCCUGCGCUCAGUGGCUUUUCUCCGUGGUGAGGAGACUGCCCCCAUGCACGGAAACAGUGUGGUCAGCAGUUUGGGUCUACUUUCCAAGGGCUAAAGAUACAUGGGGGAAAUGAGUCUCCUCUCCACUAAGAGCUUGCUUCCCGAACCCGUUUGACUGUGUGGAGAUAUCAGUAUUAAUUCGGAAAGAUUAUACCUAGCCAGGGGUUACCUUUCAACAUACAAAGCAAGAUUCUCCUGGUAAAAAUAUUUUCAGUUUACAAGACUAAUGAAUAAGACAUCUAUAUUUUAAGUCCAGUAUCUGUUGCCACCCUAGAUUCUACUUAUUUUUCUUUGUGAUUUUACUAAAGACGUAUAUAAACAUUUCUGCAUUGUACUUAUACUUAAGCAUAAUAUAAACAUUAUCAUACUACUUGUAUUCUUUUACAGCUUGCCUUUUUGACUUAACAUUUUUUUAAAUCCAGAUAUAAUUCAUAUAAUUCAGUUGUUUUCAGUACAUUCACAAAGUUGUGAAAUCAUCACUAAUGUCUAAAUCUGGAACUUUUUUGUCACCCCAAAAAGACACUUCCAGAACCCUUUUCAGAAUUUCCCUCCCCAGUUUCUGCCAGCCACAGCUUUCUGCCUGUGUCCCAUGAUUUGGAGAAAUAUCUAUUUUCACUCACCUAGCUAUAGUUCAUUCAUUUUAACUGUAAUACAUGUAUAAAGAUUUUCACAUCUGUGAAUGGAAAUAUGUUAUAGUUGUUUAUAUUUAAAUUUUAAUAUUAGUAUUUUGAAAAGCACAUUUAAACAUUUAAAAUUUCUUUUAGCAAAUAUUGUGUAUACAUAUAUAUUCUUAUAAGCUGUUUUCUAGACAGAAAGUGGAAUUUCCUGUUAAUCCCACCUGCCUUUUGUUUAAGAGGGUGUACAAAUUCAUAAUUCCACUAGCAGCACUGACUUUUAAAAUUCUUACCCAUUGAGCUAUAUAGUCAGUGUUUAUAAACAUCUAAUAUUGUUGCUUUAUGAAAAUAUUUUCAUUUAUUACUUGUCUUUUCAUUUUCUUUAGGUUGUCUAUUGAAUAAGCCGAAAUUCUGAACUUUAUGCAAGUUUGAAUGUAUCAAUUUUUCCUUUUAGGUUCUGUACUUUUCUGAUUGGUUUAAGUUUUUUCUCUUCCAAAUUCCCAAGUAUUUAUUCCUUCAUUUCCUUUCUCUAUUUUUGGCUGAUUUCACCUCCACUAUAUGUUUGCAUAUAAUAGUGGCUAAAAUUCAUUGUUUUCCUUCUAAUUUCUUUUUUCUUUUUGAACCUAAUGUAAUACAUGUAGAUAUUAAUAAAGAAAAUAUGAAAAGCACUCUCUUCCUUUGAUAAAAAAUUUUUAAAUCUCAUAAUAAAAUACUUAGAAUAACUAGUUAAUGCACUGUGUACCAUGAUCUUAUAUGAGAAACUCAAAAUAUGAACAUACACUGGUAUAAAUAAACAGCAAAAUAGAAGAUAGAGAAAUGAGAAGUAGAGAGGAGUUCAAAUGAUUCCCCUCAAUUCUCUAUUCCACAGUUUCAAAAAUAGUUCAGUAUGUAUGGUCAUUUGUCUCAUGUAUACUACUAGUUUCUCUUCGUUGAUUGAAAAGGUUUGUGCUAUUAUCUGUUUCUUUUUUGUAAGGGAGUCCUUUCCGUCUCUGACUUGUACUCUGAGUAACAUUUUGGCCAUUUUUCUUUGGCUCUGCGGCUUUCAUGGACUCUUUCUGACUUUCACCCCAACAGAGCAGCCACAUCUCUGCCUCCAUCCUUUCCUGCUGCCUUCCGUGUGCUUAGGGUCCCCCGGCCCGGUCCGUGCUGCCUGGGCGUGUAUUUCUACAGCGCGGCUCUGCCUGCUGAGCCACUCCCCGCCAGCUCUGCACGAGCGAUGUGGAUUUGCUAACCCUUCCUUCUCUCAUUUUAGAAUUAGCUUUCAGGGUUUAAAUACUUUUAGAAAGCUUGCUCAUCAAUAGGACACUUGGUUCUCAUGCCCACAAAAAUGGCACUCCAUGCUUUUAGGUGAUUUUAAAUUUACUUUGUGUAAAGUUUUAUGAUUUUCCACAGAGGUCUUAAAUAUAUUUUGUUAGAUUUAUUCCUAGCACUGGAAAUAUUUUGUCACUCUUGUAAAACAAUGUCUGUAUAAGAAAUUACAUUUUCUCAUUGUUGCUUAAUAUAGAAUAAAAUUGAUUUUAAUUUCUCUUAUAUCCAGUGAUUUUUUAAAAUCUUUUUAAAUUUAAUUUUUAUUUUAUUAGUG
rnacentral:lncRNA from 1 species